UCCCAGGUGGCUCAGAUGGUAAAGAAUCUGCCUGCAAUGCAGGAGUCCCAGGUUCAAUCCCUGGAUUGGGAA
rnacentral:tRNA from 1 species